GUAAAUUGAAGGCCAGAGACAGGAAUUUGCCUAAAUCACAGAGUCUCACAUUGUCAUCCAGUCUGGAGUGCAAUGGCAUGACCUCAGCUCACUGCAGCCUCCGUCUCCUGGGUUCAAGCAAUUCUCCUGCCUCACCCUCUCUAGUAGCUGGGAUUACAGAGCAUCAAAAUAUUAUUUUUGUUUAUGUGGCCCCAGGACAGAUAAAACUUGUACUGGUGCAAAAAUACAUCCCAGUCAUAACCAUUAGUCAUGAUAAUGGACGCAAUGUCGUUGACAUACAUGAAACGGACUAUGAUAAUUAUAUAUUUUUUUAUAACAAGAAUAUCAAGAAUGGGGAAACAUUCCUAAUGUUGGAGCUCUAUGCUCGAACACCGGAUGUGAGCUCACAACUCAAGGAAAGGUUUGUGAAAUAUUGUGAAGAACAUGGGAUUGAUAAGGAAAACAUAUUUGACUUGAACAAAGUUGAUCGCUGUCUCCAGGCCUGAGAUGGGGGAGCAGACUAGGACUCCAGGUUGGUGAUCUCUGACUCCAGUGGAGAGAGGGUGACCCAGGGACCAGUGCCUUCCAAAAGCAUUAGGGAUUUGCACCCAAAGACACCAUAAAAAUAAUUUGGUAGGGAUGCUUGUGGGAAAAGCUUGAAAUCUGGAGUUGGAAGACCUGGAUAGAGGACCCAAUUCUCCCAUGAGUUUUGAGCAAAUAACCUAAGACUUAAAAAGGAGACAAUGGGCCAGGUACAGUGGCUCACACCUGUAACCCCAGCACUUAGGGAGGCAGCGGCAGGAGGAUCGCUUGAGCCCAAGACCAGCCUGGGCAACAUAACGAGACACCAUUCUCCAUGAAAGGGAGAAUUAAAAAAAGACAAAAAAAAGAAGAGGAAACAAUGAUGCCUAGUUUACAGAGUUGCUGUGUAGAUAUAAUGCUUGCGAAAAGGGCCCAGUAAUUGAUGAUGUGCUAAAAAUCACUAAGACAUCACGUUCGAAAUGGAAAAAGAGUAGUAGGUUGUAUGAAACUCAAAUGUUUCUGUGUUUGUGGACCAACUCCCAGGAGCCCAUCUAACCCUCCAACUUAUAAUCCACAUUUCUUCUUCUGUACUCUGUACGUCCUUGACAUCUAACCUGGGAAUGGAACUGUCUUCCCAUUUUCCGCAAACCUGGAAAAUAGAUCCUGAGUUUUCUCAACUACCUUAGAUUUAUCAUGGGGCUUUAUUCAGAUGAUGUAUGUGAAAGUCUUAGCAGCUUGCAUAAAGCAAAUAUUUUAUAAGAGAUAUCUACAGAUUUUGCCAUUAUUCCUCAAUUUAUCAAAAAUUCUUCAAAACUUCUGAUGUUGAAGAUGGCAGAAACAAACCUUGGACCCUUUAUUACUUCCUUUCUCUUUUUCAUAUAUUCAGCUGAGGGAAGGUUAAGAUGGCAUUAGCAAUAGCAAAAAAAGGAAAAGUCAUUUACUCAACAUCCUCCCUCCCCCUAUUCUGGUGUAUAACAUAAGUUAGAAUACAGGGUCAGAUCUAUUUCUUCAUUUUUCUCUGUAAUAGAAUUUCUCUUCAUCAUUCAUGCAAUGCAAGGAAUGUUUAAUAAGUUCCUGUGUUCUCUCUCUUCUCUGCUUAAUUAGUGCUGAGUGAAAGCUUCCUCACCUGGACUCCAGUAUCUUCCCUUCCUGGUCCCCAUGUCCUCUUAUAACAAGUUCUGUGACUUGAUUUCCAUCAUAUCACACAUGAAGACAUCAUCCCUGCAUCUUUAGGAUCUUCCCUAACUGCCUAAGAAGACUCAGAAAUUCACCAAGAAUCAAAGGUUUUCUUUGAAUUUCUGACUGUCUUUGUCACAGCCAGGGAAACUCUACAUGAAUAACACCUGACUCUACGUGAUCAAUAAAUCAUCAACCUUGC
rnacentral:sRNA from 1 species